CCUACGUGUGGCAGCAGUGGGGAAUAUUGCACAAUGGGGGAAACCCUGAUGCAGCGACGCCGCGUGAGCGAGGAAGGAUUUCGGUAUGUAAAGCUCUAUCAGCCGGGACGAAAAAAGACGGUACCUGACUAAGAAGCACCGGCUAACUACGUGCCAGCAGCCGCGGCAAUACGUAGGGGGCAAGCGUUAUCCGGAUUUACUGGGUGUAAAGGGAGCGUAGACGGCAAGGCAAGCCAGAAGUGAAAGGGCAGGGCUCAACCCUGUACAUGCUUUUGAAACUGUGGUGCUAGAGUGCAGGAGAGGUAAGUGGAAUGCGUGGUGUAGCGGUGAAAUGCGUAGAUAUUAGGCGGAACACCAGUGGCGAAGGCAGCUUACUGGACUGUAACUGACGUUGAGGCUCGAAAGCGUGGGGAGCAAAUAGGAUUAGAUACCCGAGUAGUC
rnacentral:rRNA from 1 species